ensembl:lncRNA
CCCAACACAGGGUGUGGCCUGUCCAGUGGGACGGAUGGUCCCGCCGUCAGAUCUGGUGUCCAACGCUUAAUGACUUGGAAAGGAACUGAAGCUGCUGCCCUGGGACCCGAGACAGGCUGCUGGAAGAUGGCAGGUGACUGUGGGGACCCUUCCCACAUGAAACUUGCUCUGCUGGGAAAAGUUCUGGAAGGGAGCAGCGGGGCUCUGCAUGUAUAGCCAAAAUCAGCAUCACUUUCGGGGGACAGUCACGUGGGAGUGAGGCAGAGAGAUUACAGCUUCCAACAAAGUCAAAAGGAGACUUAACUGCUGAGACUCAGCAGGGGUUCCAAGCUGGGUGAUGCUGGUGGCAGAAGGAGGCGUGAGUACAAUUCCUUGGUGCUUACAGGUGUAACAUAAAACCCUGAAAACAAAAGGUGAGGAUAAAUGGAAUGCCAAGCCUGCCCUGCUAGUUCCAGAAUGAAGCAAUAUCCACC